AGCUGUCUGUGUCCCGCCCCUGAACUAAGGCAGAACACUCGUGCUGGCUCUGCUUAACAUUCAGUGUCUGGCCCCAGACUGAGCCAGCCGAUCAUAGAGUGAGCUGCUGUGAGGUAAAAGCCCUGUCCUCCUCUGCCUGCUCAAGUGCCCAUCGCCUGAGUCACUGGCUGGCUCCACGUGGUGUGUGCUGGCUCCCUCUGUAAGAAACAAACAGGAAAGCCAGGGUGUUCUGUGAAAUCUGGCAGUACAGAUUUAUACUGAAAGCAGUUCUAAGUUAAACACGGACUAGUCUGUGAAGGAGCGUGUCGUGGAUUACGGCUGAAAACAAUCUCGUUUCUGUCCUCUUGACUGACUUGACUGAUUCCUUUGGGAAUGCAGAAGGAGCUGUAGAUUAUGGUGGCCCAGCGAGGGAAUUUGAGAGACUUCUGAUACAGUUUUGCAAAUCUCCAAAUAAUUUGAAGGACAAGAUAAUUCCAAUAUUAUUAUUUUUUUUUUUAACUAUAUAUCAACUAAAUAUAUAUUCAAUUGCAACCAUUAACCAUGAGUUACUCUUUUUGUAUUUUCCUCUGUUUAUGUGUUAAUUUCAUAUUAAUCGAGGCAGUGGAAGAUAUUCAAGAAUAUUUUCUUUCACUAAAGUCAAGCUGUACUAUUGCAGAAAGGGCUAUUUUUUCAGUGGAUAUAAAUUUUUUGGAACAUCUACAUAGAAAACUUGAAAGCCAUUUAGAAGUUUUAAUUGCAAUGCUCAUUGCAUGUCACCAUUUUAUUAGCGGAAACAGUACUUUACUUCCAAUGCUAGAAGACAUAUCUCAGCAUACAGUUUUGUUAAUUGAGGAUAUCCAAACCAGGAUCAAUCAUUUAUUUGACUGUAAUCAAACACCUGGAUAUUCUGCUCCCCUUCUAAGUGUCGGUGUAGGUAGGCCAAGGUUCAUUGUUUCUAGAGAACAGAUACAAUAUUUGUGGGAACUAGGCUUUUCGUGGAUUCGAAUAGCAACUUGCUUAAACAUCAGUGUUUCAACUUUGUACAGAAGACGACAAGAACUAAACUUGCCUACAUCUUCUGACAACAGAUUCAGUGAUAUAUGUGAUGAUGAACUUGAUCAGCAUAUCUUGAGUUUUCUAAAUUCCACACCAAAUGCUGGAGAAAGUUAUAUUCAAGGUAGUCUCAGAAGCCGAGCACAGAGUACAGAGGUGGAAAAUUAGAAGGAGGCUGCAACUUCUGGAUCCUGUUGGCCGAGCUGUUCGUAAAAGACGGGCUAUUCAGCGUAGAGUUUAUAGUGUACCAGGUCCAAAUCAUUUGUGGUAAGAACAUGUUGUUGCAAUCGCGCUCCCAGGGCUCGAUCCUUCCCGUCAGGAUCACAGAAUAUUAUACCCGCUAGGGACACCAACACCUAAAUCCUGAACAGGAUCAGGACACCAGCGCCGGAAUCCCAUCAGGAUCCAAAUCUCUGGAUGCCAGAGGAGGCAUAUUGACAGUAACCACAAGCUAAUCUCUUGGAGAUUUGUGUUCCAUGGUUGCAUAGAUGGGUUCAGCAGAAAUAUAAUUUAUCUUAAAACUGCUACAAACAAUAAUGCAUCAACAACACUGCAAUUAUUUCAAAAAGGUGUAUCAAGGUUUGGAUUACCAUUACGAGUAAGAGGAGACAUGGGUGUUGAAAAUAUUAACAUAGCACGUUACAUGAUUAACUCAAGAGGACCUAAUAGGGGUAGCUUCAUAACUGGCCAGAGUGUUCACAAUCAACGGAUAGAACGCUUAUGGGCAGAAUUAAACAGAGUUGUCAUCUACUACUUUAAAGAUUUAUUUUUAUGGAUGGAGCAUAGAGGAAUACUAAAUACUAACAAUGAGUGCCAUCUCUUUGCUUUGCAUUAUGUAUAUCUGAGAAGAAUUAAUCAUGCAGUAACAGAAUUUGUUGCACAAUGGAAUAAUCACCUUAUGAGCACUGAAAGAUACCAUUCCCCAAUGCAGUUAUGGACAGCUGGAAUGCUUCAUAAUCCAAUGUUUGACACAGAAGUAAACAUCGAUGAGUAUGGCAUAGAUAACUAUGGCUCUACAGCCACAAUAGAAACAAAUAAUAAUGUUGUUGUACCAGACAAUACCAUUAUAUUGGAUGUAGAUGAGAUGACAAACCUUUGUCUACAAUUUGAUCCCACAACAAAUGAUUUUAACCACGGAGUUGAACAUUUUAAGAACACCUGUGAUUUUCUUGAACGUCUAAAUAUAAUUGUAUAAAGAUAAUGAUUUUUAAAAAAAAAUUAAGAACUUUAUUUGUUAAACAUGAUACUGUUACAACAUUAAAAUAAAUUCAAUCUCUGGAA